GACUGGUAAAAAUUUCAUGAAUUGUGGUGCAUGUAUGAUUAAGUUAGUAAUUUAACUUGUUUAAUGCACCUUAAAUAGUUUUAAAUGAUUUAAAAAUAAUGUAUAGAUGCAAAAAUGUAAAAUGGUGUUCCACUGUCCUUGCAUGACAUUAUAGUAGGCUAAGAAAACUUAAUAUGGUCAUGCAUCCACAGAAAAUAAUUAAUUUUAGAAUUAACUUGCUCUCACAAGCUUUAUUGCAUUAACAAAUUGUUAUUUUUGUAUUAAAUAAAAUAUAAAACCUGGGCAUGUGAAAUUUAUACAUUGGUCAUGAUUUGUUAUUACCUAUGCCUCAUAAAAAUUCCAGCCCCAAAUUAGAUAGUUUUAUAUGGUACUAAAAUGACACACAUUUUAUAAGUAUAAGAACAAUUAGUGAAAAAUUAGAAGUAAACAAGGGCAUGCAUGUUUCUUGAAAUACUUAAGUGCCUUGAUAUAAAUUGAAACUUUACAACUAGGUCAUAAUGGUUUGAAUUUAAGAAAUCGGUGAUAGUAUCUCUAUGAGUUUGCUUGGUGAUUUAGUUAAGUGCUCUUGUGCUAGCAAACUGAAUUUUAUGGAUGUACAGUUUUGGUUGUGUGAGUAAUCUAGUAAAGUAAAAUGUGUUUUCUGUAGAUAUGUGCUAUAUAAAAGUUGUAGUUUACUUGUGUAUGUAGCUUGUCCUAAAAAUGCAUGAGCUAAGGAUUGAUUGUUUAGGAGCUAUACUUUUCACAAGUUCAGUAACUGAAUCUGUCCAAUUUUUUUAACAGAUUUCAGAGAUUGCAAUGGUUGCUUAAGUUAAUGUUGAAAUCAGUUAUUGGUGGUCACAAUAAAGUUGUAGAUAACAUUAUUAUCUUACUUAUGUUAAAAUUUGACAGUCAUACGUCUGAUUGUUUAGAAGUUGUGCUUUUCACAAAUUCAGUAACUGAAUCUGUGCAAAUUCUAUACAGAUUUCAGAAACUACAUUGUUUGCCUAAUUUAAUGUUACAAUCUGUUCAUGGUCGUUAUAAGAAAGUUGUAGAUUCUUUUCUUAUCUUGUUUGUGUUAAAAUUUCAUAACCAGAGGCCUGAUAGAUUAAGAGUUAUGAAUUUUAUAAAAUGGUUGCUCUGUUCUGUCCACUGACAGAACAGAUUUCGAAAACUAUAUUGUUUGAUUUAGUUAAAUAUGGAAUCACUUCUUGGUGAUUAUAAAAGUUAUGUAGUACUUUUUUAGGCUUUCCAAAAAGUCUGGGAUCACUCUUUUUGGUGAUCUGAAGAUUUAGUUAGGGAUGUUUGAAGUGUGAAGUCUAAAUCUGUCCAAAUCUGGACAGCAAAGCCUUCUAGUGUCUUUUACUCUUGAUACACUUUAAAUCAACCUGAGAUGUUUAUAAAUAAUUUGUAGAACGUUUAAUUAGCUUUCUAAAAAGUCUAGGAUCAAUUGAUUUGAAUGUCUGAGUCUCUAGUUACGAAUUUUUGAAGGCAUAAGUCUAAAUCUGCCCAAAUUUGAAUAAAGCUGUCGUUUAUCACUAUUUAACCUUAUUAAGUGUCUAAUCACCUUGAGAUGAUAAUAUCAAAGUUGUAGAACACUUUUUAAACUUUCCAGAAAAUCCUAGUUUGAUAAUUUUGAACUAAUAUUUGAAGAGUUAUGAUUAAAACAAAAACUAUUGUGUUGCUGUCCUAAAUGUGUUAGAAGUGAUUGAUUGCUCUACUCUAUUGUGUUUGACUUGAGUGAUUGCUUGCUUGUUUUGGUUUUAAGUGAACAUGAGUAAUAAUAAUAAGUGACUAGUAUAAUUGGGGUUAUAUAUAAGUAAGUAGUACACAUCUCACUAAGUUAGUGAACUAAAUUGGUUAAGGUCUAAUAAGUAGCUUAGCUUAAUCAACAGUUAGCAAGUGCAGUUAUAUAUUAGGGAAACAAAAUGAAUAAUGUCAUGUCCUUGGCUUUCUGCUAAUACUACUAAGUAACCAACGUCAUUAAAGUAGUAUAACAUGUAAUAACGAUUAAACUAUCUCCUCAUGUGUGUUCUCUUUGGUGUGUGCUUGCAUGAGAAUAUUGUGAAUGAUUGUAAAAUCUCGAUUAAAUGAAUAUCCCUUUCUAUCUAAGUCUGUCUAAAUAUAUGAGUCAUAGAAAACUUAUGUGUACUUAACUAGUUUAAUAAUAAGUUGCCAAUGAACGAUUAAAGCGAACAUGUUAAAUUCUUGUACUCGUGAUGUCAUGUUUGUGUUGGCUAAAUAUAGGAAAUGUUCAUCGUCUUUCCAGUAAUGUUGACUUGAUGCGCCCAAUGACGUAUAGAUAGCUAGCGUUAACGUAUGGAUGUUUAUGUGUCUUACUAAUUAAUGUUAGUUCGUUGUCAUGUACUUGGAGUAUCUUGUGCUAUUUCAUCAUGUUCAUACAUAUGCAUCCCGCAUCUCAUUUAGGACCGAGAGAUGACGAUCGUGUAAGUGGUGUGGUGCAAACAACAAGAUGCAGUUGGUGGACGACCCAAAGAAGGAUGGACUUAACCAGUGGAUGCUCGCCAAGCGAGUAGCCCCCAGCAAACACUAUCUAAGUGUUAAAUUAAAGGCAAGCCCCGGUUUUAUGCAUAACCGUUUAUGUAUGCUAUUUUACUACACUUAAUGUUUGUAGGCUUGUACCGUGCACUUAAGUGUAGGAGUUGCCUGAAACCCUAGUUGCAUGAACUCAGGAUUCCUUUUGAGAUGGAUACUAGUAUGCUAGGUCGAGUAGCUGCUAUGCUAAAUCAGGAUCUCGGUAGAAGUCGAGUGAUUUUUCUAGCACUCGCGCGAGGUCAGGAAUUGGUUGUAUCCAUUUUUGAUAACAGAAUGAUGAUGGUCUAUGGACACGGAUCCAUGGGGAUGUGUUGUCUAUGAGACAAAAUUGGAAUAAGGAUUAACGUGCGGAUACCUGUGUCAAGCGUUUGAACGUACUAAACACAUGUCGGGAAAAAUGGUAACCGGUAAACCUAGUACCUGAGUGAAGCCGGGCGCGGACUUUAUCCCUCAUGCGACCUGAGACUGGGUCUCCCAUUCUAGAUAUAGUGGGUACAACUGCGGCCACUGCACGACGGCAGUCGGGGUUAGUGGAGCAGUGUAUGCCAAGGCGGUGAGGCCUGGACGCGAACGGGGAAUCGAUGGGGACGGUUGACAUGUGUGGGGACGGAGUGCCCUGACAUGUCGUGUGUUUAGGUUUACCUUGCAAGGUUAAAACUCGAUUCGAAUCGUCUGCUUCUCGCAGCUAAUGAGACUGCUUGAUCCAUUGUAUUGCAUUGAGUAAUAAGUGGAAAUGAGAUACUGGCAAAAAAUGUUGAUUGAUAUAAUGUUUGAUACCAUGUAUGAAUAGCUAGGUACUCAUCUAGUUAAAAAGGAUCAUACUAAAACUUGAAAAGCUAAAACUUGAUUUUAAACUCAGCUAGUGCUUUUGGCAAACCAAACCCCUCAGCCAAACAGCUGCAUGUCUAGAGGUAGAGGAGUAGACUCCUCACACCGGGUAAGUCUAGCUGAGUAUUAGUAUACUCAGCCUUGCUUGUGGCAUAAUUUUUGCAGGUACUCCUUAGGAUGAUUUGUUGAUGGUGUGACUUGGCCUUCAUCCCUGCCACCGGGAUAGACGGUCAGGUGGGUUAUUGCUUCCGCAGGAGAGGACCAGGAGGAGUAGCGUGGCCAGGCUUCGCCAUGUUACUCGGUUUUCUCCGUUAGUUAUUUCCGCUGCAUUAAAAUUUAUGAUUAUUAUUUCUGAAACUCCAAUAAUGUAAUCACUAAUGAUACUUAUUAAAUUUGUGGUGUUAUGUUUUAUUGUAUUUCUCUGUGCCUCACCUUCGUGUGAGCUAGUGGUAUUCGAUCCUGGAUAAGUGGCUUUAUCGGACUCGAUCCGAGGGACUGACGGGUUAUUCCUGUUUAAGUGUGUUGCUGCCCUUAAGGGUGCGACUUGGGCACUUAAGCUGGAAUAAUCCGGGUGGUUCCGCCACAGCUGGCAUCGGAGCGAAUACCAGUACAGAGAAGUCAAUAAGUCAUGAUUACCAACCUUUUCUAAAGUAAAACUUGCUUAGAAACCAAAGUUGGAUAGAUAUCAGGACGAUAAGGAUAGACCUAGGACGUGAAGCCUUAGGAAAUAGGUGGGUAGCUAGGUGGCUAUUUAUAUAGGCCAUAAAGGCUACUAAUACUAUUAAUAGGGAUGCUGUAGAAGCACCCAAAAAAUUAGUUAGGUCUGAGAAGACGACUAGAAUGAGCAUGCAUCAUGAUUGUCGCAUUAUCAUUGUCUCUUGUGCACCAACAUGCUUCUCUCACCUUUAUUCCAAUAAUAAGAAAUUGUGAAUAAUGUGCUGUAUUGCUAUGAACUGCAAAAAAAAAUGUUUUAUCCUGUGUGUCAUGAUAGUCUUAACUAGGUUGUGUUAUGUGUUUCUCUUGUCUUGCUAUCUAGGUGGUAUUGUAAUUGUUCAACCCUUUUUGCUAAUAAAAAUUGUUGCCUGUUUUGCCAAAAAAAGGACCCCCUCCAAACAACCUCAAGUUUAGCAAGUAAAAUCUUCAAAAAAUUUAUCACAUGCUUGUGUUAGUGUUUUUCAAACCCUUGCGUGUUUUACGCUUGAAGUUACACCUACACAGCUUGUAGAUCUCUUUAGCUUGACCACUAGAUCGACUAAAGCCUCCUUGUGCACUUGUUUCUGUCAAAAAAAACUUUUAGUUGGUGAAUAAUUGCGCAAAACAAUAUCCAACCCCAAAUUCUUCUUGGAAAACCUUGUCCCAAAAUCCUCAUUAAAUUCUCUUCUGCUCAACCUAGAAGCCAUCUGGGUUGAUGACCUCUCCUUUCACCUGGAUCGAGUAAACCUUUACCUUUGUGAAUCAUGUUGGCUUUAUCAUCCAAAUCUCCAGAUCCCUUAAUGAUUCUGCCCUGUUAUCUGGUUAUCUGCUAUAACCUAUUCUCAAGUAUCAGAUGUUGAUCUACCUAAAUCUCUUAUUUCUGGUCAUUCUCAUACCCCCUUCUUCCGAGGACCAUGACACUUGUUUUAUCAAUUGUAUCUCUAAACAGUGUAUCCAUUCGGUUCAAUGGAUUAUGUUGUUGACAUUAGUUCUCUCAUGUCUCAGCAAGUUGCCAAUCUUGAUCUCAUGGUUGGUUCCCCUCAUAUCCACUCUCGUAUAAAUCUCUGACCUGAUAAUCUCCGUGUUAAUCAUAAGAUAAUUCUCCGAGUUGAAGAAAAUUCUCAUGUGAUGCCCUUUUGCCAACAAUCUCUGCUUCAACUCCGAUCACAUUCUUAUUUUCUGAGCCAUACUCUCAUGGGCUCCAUCUAUUUAUGUCAUGUGGAUUUAUCGUUGGUUGCGUUUGAUAAUGGUAUUAUGACUAACAACUGAUGGUGCCGCGACGAAACCGAGAGCCUACUAUGGUGCACACAUGGUUGAGCUGCUCGGCACGCGCAGGUAUCGCGGUUAAUAGUCGUGAUCCAUUAUGGAACUACACCGAUGUGCUGUGUUUUGUGAACAUUCUCUCAGAGUGGUCGUGGCAUUUUGUCUCAAUAUGUCACGGUAUUCGGUCCAAAUCUAUCUUCAGUAUCUUGUCAGAUGACAUCUCAUGAAUUUCAUUCUAUCUUCAGCUUGGAAGUUACAUGCUUCUCCACCCUUAAAGAUCCUCAUUCGAAUCUCGGGACGAGAUUCUUUUAAGGGGGGAAGGCUGUGACACCCCAGGUGUCAGUUUCGUGUUAUGUCGGGAGAUUUAUCCUAAGCUUGGAUGCUCAGUGAAAAUUUCUAUCUCCUUAUCACAUUUAUCUCCAUUUAUCAAGUUACUUGUGAAGGUUUCACCGAUUUGUGAAUUUAUUCGAUCUCAAGAACAGCCCAAUUUGGAGCCUGUUAAAACUUUUAUUUCUCGAAGCAAACGCAAAUUCGAAAGUCAAUCUCGUCUCGCAACUCCCGUCCAGACUCAUUUAUCCAAACUCUCGACAAUUGUGAUGUUACCUAAUCUAUGUCCGAAUCCGCUCUCUCGAUAGCCAGUCUAUGUCCAAAUAUUUAAUCUGAAUCCGCAUUCUCCAUCGGAAUCUCUAUAGUAUCAACCUCUAAUUAUUUCUUAUGCAAUUCAGCUUGUUAUAUUUAUGUCAUCAUCUAUCUCUAUCUAUCAAGCGUAUUCUAAAGAUUUCUUAAAGUUUGAACCAAAUAUUCGUGUGAAAUUAUAAAUCCUACGCUUACCUGAGACUGCUCGAUUAAGUAAAAGCAAAUUUACAAAUUCAAACAAGUUAUUCCAACCUUCCCAAAACACUCUAUAUCAACUCUACAACAAAAGUUAUUGAGGGUUCAUGUAGAGAAAAUGCCAAGGAAAUGUCGAGAAAAUACCCCGAUUGCCUUAAAAAUAUAAUUUGAAGCUUUAUAAUGAUGCUACCUUGACUAAAGUAAAACUUUAAUUUAUAUUCAAGAUAUGAGGAUUGACCUUCAAUACAAAUUGUAGAACCUGUGUUAUACAACAAAUUUUAUAUUUAAACCAAGCCUUGAUUCAAUUUCUAAGUAUCUCAAACAGUGCCAUCAAGACAGAAUAAAAAUCUGAUUUCUGAAUUCGAAUUCUUCUAAGUCUGAAAUCAGCAUCGUUCGGGUCGACGUCUCGCGUUCCCAAAUUUUUGUUGAACAACUCAAGUUUCCCCAAAUACAAAAGUUGUUAAUAACUAAUAGGGGCACAACAUAUUAAAAGAUGGCAUUCAUCUGAUUCCGUUUGACAUGCUUUGACAUUCAGUUUUCACGAGUUUCCACUGAUUUCUAACCCACUGACAAACCAGUUUUCGUGGUUCUAUAACUUUCUAACCAGUGCCCGAAUCACCUCAAUCUCUAUACACGAUUUGUAAAUUAUACAUCAAGGAAGAUAUUUUGUGCAGCAACCGAGAUCCGAAUCCAUGCAGAAGAUGCCAAAAACGGGCAGCCAAAGUCGCUCUGCCACCUGCUGCAGCUGACUGACGCGACUAGAGCUCUGCAGCUGCCGCCCAGUGUCUGCCAAUGGCUGAAGCCGCCCCGCCUCUAUUUAUACCGCGCUGAGAGCUCACCAGCACGCCUUCCUCUUCUCCAUGGCGCGCCCUGCUUCGCCCAUCGUUCGGCUUCCUCAUAGCAUGGCGCUCAGGGCCCGCUCGGCCCUCUCGUUCGCGCGCAGGGUGCUCCUGCUUCCCCAUGCCCGAGCUCGACGGACAGCAGAGCCAGGGCGCCAUCUCCAAGCUCCAGCCCCUCCUCCCUGGCGCGCCUCGACAGCAGCAGGGAGCAGCCGCUCUCCUCUCCCUGCCCCACCUCGCCGGUUUCUUCUCGCCUGUGCGCUCGGCUCCAGGAGCAGGCGCCCCUACAUCUCCCUGCGUACGUGCUCAAACAGAGGUAGAAGAAGCCACUUUGUGCCUAUGACAGGUGGGUCCAGGUUCAAGUUCAUUUGUGUUCCAAAUUCCAGAUUUCGUAAUAUAUUCUAAAAUUCAUAUCUUGAGUUUGGUAGCUCCAAAAAUCACGAAAUUUGUUUUGUUGGCUUCCUUAUGAAAUGCUCUAACUAUUAGAUCUAUAGGUUGGCAUGUUUUAGUGGAAAAGUUUUUCUGUAGAAAUUCGUAUUUAAAAACUGGUUUAGAAAACAAAUGAACUUGCACCUCUCCAUAGUUUUAAUUACAAAAAUCCAAAAAUGAUGAAACUUGUUUUGUUAGUUAGAUGUUGUCAUACCCCAUCAAGGAAAAAUAUAAAACUUAUAUGUUGUUCACUGUUUUCUUGGUGUGCUAAUUAAAUCAUGUUAAAUAGGAAAAAGAAGAUUUAUUUGCUUGUUAUUUUUGGAUCUGUAGCUCUAGUGCUCUAAGUGGGUUGAAAUUUUUACAGUAGACUCUUGGUGUGAUGCUUGGUGACUGGUAAAAAUUUCAUGAAUUGUGGUGCAUGUAUGAUUAAGUUAGUAAUUUAACUUGUUUAAUGCACCUUAAAUAGUUUUAAAUGAUUUAAAAAUAAUGUAUAGAUGCAAAAAUGUAAAAUGGUGUUCCACUGUCCUUGCAUGACAUUAUAGUAGGCUAAGAAAACUUAAUAUGGUCAUGCAUCCACAGAAAAUAAUUAAUUUUAGAAUUAACUUGCUCUCACAAGCUUUAUUGCAUUAACAAAUUGUUAUUUUUGUAUUAAAUAAAAUAUAAAACCUGGGCAUGUGAAAUUUAUACAUUGGUCAUGAUUUGUUAUUACCUAUGCCUCAUAAAAAUUCCAGCCCCAAAUUAGAUAGUUUUAUAUGGUACUAAAAUGACACACAUUUUAUAAUUAUAAGAACAAUUAGUGAAAAAUUAGAAGUAAACAAGGGCAUGCAUGUUUCUUGAAAUACUUAAGUGCCUUGAUAUAAAUUGAAACUUUACAACUAGGUCAUAAUGGUUUGAAUUUAAG
rnacentral:lncRNA from 1 species